GGGUGAAGGUGUUGGUUCACGAAUUAAUUCGAGUGUCUGGUGCACGUGUGUCUGCAGCCUUCCGGUAUAAGGUUGGGAUGAAACUAGUGCAGUUCGCCCAAACCUCAGAGGAGGCCUGUAAACUUGUGAGGCAGGCAAUGUUUGUGAAGAUGAUGAAUCUCCACCGGAAACAGGAUUGGGGGAAAAAGUUGGACAACCUCCACAGGUUCAUCAGGAGGUUUCCCUCCAUAUUUUUCAUCAUUGAACCCCAUCAUAUUUUAUACGGUAUUGAGGAUCACGAGAACCCUCUACUGGAUGUUCUUCCCCCACCUGCUCAGCUUGU